rnacentral:tRNA from 1 species
GACCGUUGGCUGAAUGGCUUAGGCGGAGGCCUGCAAAACCUCCUUAUGUGAGUUCGAACCUCAUGCGGUCGUCCA